CCUACGGGAGGCAGCAGUGAGGAAUAUUGGUCAAUGGACGGAAGUCUGAACCAGAGAGGAAGAGGGCAGGAAGACGGCUCGAGGAGGAGUAAACUGCUUUUGUACAAGGGUAAACCUGAAUACGUGUAUUCAGCUGAAAGUACUGUACGAAUAAGGAUCGGCUAACUCCGUGCCAGCAGCCGCGGUAAUACGGAGGAUCCAAGCGUUAUCCGGAUUUAUUGGGUUUAAAGGGUGCGUAGGCGGAUUGAUAAGUUAGAGGUGAAAUGUCCGAGCUUAACUCGGGAACUGCCUCUAAUACUGUUGAUCUAGAGAGUAGAUGCGGUAGGCGGAAUGUAUGGUGUAGCGGUGAAAUGCUUAGAGAUCAUACAGAACACCGAUUGCGAAGGCAGCUUACCAAUCUAUAUCUGACGUUGAGGCACGAAAGCGUGGGGAGCAAACAGGAUUAGAUACCCCAGUAGUC
rnacentral:rRNA from 1 species